rnacentral:rRNA from 1 species
GAGUUUGAUCCUGGCUCAGAUUGAACGCUGGCGGCAUGCCUUACACAUGCAAGUCGAACGGUAACAGGUCUUCGGAUGCUGACGAGUGGCGAACGGGUGAGUAAUACAUCGGAACGUGCCCGAUCGUGGGGGAUAACGAGCGAAAGCUUUAGCUAAUACCGCACUAAGAUCUACGGAUGAAAGCAGGGGACCGCAAAGGCCUUGCGCGAACGGAGCGGCCGAUGGCAGAUUA